rnacentral:lncRNA from 1 species
GAACGAGGUGGUGCACACGUCACCCACCAUUGGCAGCAACGUGGAGGAGAUCAUCUUGAGGAAGACCCACUUCCUGAUGUGGGACAUCGGGGGGCAGGAGACGCUGCGGUCCACGUGGAACACCUACUACUCCAACACGGAGUUUGUCAUCCUGGUGAUCGACAGCACCGACCGCGAGCGGCUGACGGUGACGAAAGAGGAGCUGUACAAGAUGCUGGCCCACGAGGACCUGCAGAACGCGGCUGUCUUGAUAUUUGCCAACAAGCAGGAUGUAAAGAACUCCAUGACUACCUCUGAGAUCUCCAAGUUCCUAACCCUCAGCUCCAUCAAGGACCACCCAUGGCACAUCCAGGGCUGCUGCGCCCUCACGGGAGAGGGCCUGCCAGCUGGCUUGGAGUGGAUGAAGUCUCGAGUAGCAGCCAACUGACACAUCUGGCCAGACAUAUGACGGAACAGUGCAAAGCUCUCCAGCAUAUUAUUUAUUUUUUUAUACAUGUGAGUUUCAGCCUGGACUUUCCUGCUAAAGCAGCUGAAGCUGGGAUUUUGUACGGACAGUGUGUUUCCGAGCCCGGGUCAGCGUGGGAGCUGGUCCCUCCUGGAUUGCAUGUCCGGAAGGAAUCUGGAUCAUAUCUGCUGGGUGGUGGGUCCGUUCUGGAUCGUGUCUCUGAGGGGAAUCGGUUCUGGGUCAUCUCUCUUCUGGAUCACAUCUGCUCCAGGCCUGCACUUAAGUAAAAGCUGGAACAAAGAAGCCUGGAGCAUGGGAAUUUUACGCACACGCAGGCCCAGUGCAGCUUCCAGCAGAUUUACCAAUAAGCUAUGAAAGAAGAACCUCAC